UUGAUAGAUCCAUAGGUAAGU
rnacentral:miRNA from 1 species